rnacentral:tRNA from 1 species
GAGGCGCCAGAAAGGUGUAUGCUGCUAACUUAUCACUAUAGCGGUUAAAAUCCGUUUACGCUUCU